rnacentral:rRNA from 1 species
GAUGAACGCUGACAGAAUGCUUAACACAUGCAAGUCCACUUGAACUUCGGUUUGGGUGGCGGACGGGUGAGUAACGCGUAAAGAACUUGCCUCACAGAUAGGGACAACAUUUGGAAACGAAUGCUAAUACCUGAUAUUAUGAUUAUAUGGCAUCGUAUAAUUAUGAAAGCUAUAUGCGCUGUGAGAGAGCUUUGCGUCCCAUUAGCUAGUUGGAGAGGUAACGGCUCACCAAGGCGAUGAUGGGUAGCCGGCCUGAGAGGGUGAUCGGCCACAAGGGGACUGAGACACGGCCCUUACUCCUACGGGAGGCUGCAGUGGGGAAUAUUGGACAAUGGACCAAGAGUCUGAUCCAGCAAUUCUGUGUGCACGAUGAAGUUUUUCGGAAUGUAAAGUGCUUUCAGUUGGGAAGAAAAAAAUGACGGUACCAACAGAAGAAGUGACGGCUAAAUACGUG